AUUGAACGCUGGCGGCAGGCCUAACACAUGCAAGUCGAACGAGUGGCGGACGGGUGAGUAAUGUCUGGGAAACUGCCUGAUGGAGGGGGAUAACUACUGGAAACGGUAGCUAAUACCGCAUACCAUCGGAUGUGCCCAGAUGGGAUUAGCUUGUGGGUGGGGUAAAGGCUCACCAAGGCGACGAUCCCUAGCUGGUCUGAGAGGAUGACCAGCCACACGUGAAUGUAGACACGGGCCAGACUCCUAAGGGAGGCAGCAGGUGGGAAUUUUGCACAAUGGGCGCAAGCCUGCUGCAGCCAUGGCGCGUGUAUGAAGAAGGCCUUCGGGUUGUAAAGUACUUUCAGCGUGGAGGCGUUACCCGCAGAAGAAACACCGGCUAACUCCGUGCCAGCAGCCGCGGUAAUUC
rnacentral:rRNA from 1 species